rnacentral:rRNA from 2 species
AAACUUUCAACAACGGAUCUCUAGGCUCUUGCAUCGAUGAAGAACGCAGUGAAAUGCGAUACGUAAUGUGAAUUGCAGAAUCUCGUGAAUCAUUGAAUCUUUGAACGCACAUUGCGCCUUAUGGUAUUCCAUAGGGCAUGCCUGUCUGAGCGUCAGCU